UACGGAGGAGGCAAGCGUUAUCCGGAAUUACUGGGCGUAAAGCGUGCGCAGGCGGUUUUGUAAGCCAGAUGUGAAAGCCCCGGGCUUAACCUGGGAAUGGCAUUUGGGACUGCAAGGCUUGAGUGCGGCAGAGGAGACUGGAAUUCCUGGUGUAGCAGUGAAAUGCGUAGAUAUCAGGAGGAAUACCGAUGGCGAAGGCAGGUCUCUGGGCUGACACUGACGCUCAUGCACGAAAGCGUGGGGAGCAAACAGG
rnacentral:rRNA from 1 species